GACGAACCGUGCGAACGUUGUUCGGAUUUACUGGGCGUAAAGGGCGCGUAGGCGGCGCGGUAAGUCACUUGUGAAAUCUCUGAGCUUAACUCAGAACGGCCAAGUGAUACUGCAGUGCUAGAGUGUGGAAGGGGCAAUCGGAAUUCUUGGUGUAGCGGUGAAAUGCGUAGAUAUCAAGAGGAACACCUGAGGUGAAGACGGGUUGCUGGGCCAACACUGACGCUGAUGCGCGAAAGCCAGGGGAGCAAACGGG
rnacentral:rRNA from 1 species